CUUUUACAAUGAAGAGUUUGAUCCUGGCUCAGGAUGAACGCUAGCUACAGGCUUAACACAUGCAAGUCGAGGGGCAGCAUUUUAGUUUGCUUGCAAACUAAAGAUGGCGACCGGCGCACGGGUGAGUAACACGUAUCCAACCUGCCGAUAACUCGGGGAUAGCCUUUCGAAAGAAAGAUUAAUAUCCGAUAGUAUAUUAAAACCGCAUGGUUUUACUAUUAAAGAAUUUCGGUUAUCGAUGGGGAUGCGUUCCAUUAGUUUGUUGGCGGGGUAACGGCCCACCAAGACUACGAUGGAUAGGGGUUCUGAGAGGAAGGUCCCCCACAUUGGAACUGAGACACGGUCCAAACUCCUACGGGAGGCAGCAGUGAGGAAUAUUGGUCAAUGGACGAGAGUCUGAACCAGCCAAGUAGCGUGAAGGAUGACUGCCCUAUGGGUUGUAAACUUCUUUUAUAUGGGAAUAAAGUAUUCCACGUGUGGGAUUUUGUAUGUACCAUAUGAAUAAGGAUCGGCUAACUCCGUGCCAGCAGCCGCGGUAAUACGGAGGAUCCGAGCGUUAUCCGGAUUUAUUGGGUUUAAAGGGAGCGUAGGUGGAUUGUUAAGUCAGUUGUGAAAGUUUGCGGCUCAACCGUAAAAUUGCAGUUGAAACUGGCAGUCUUGAGUACAGUAGAGGUGGGCGGAAUUCGUGGUGUAGCGGUGAAAUGCUUAGAUAUCACGAAGAACUCCGAUUGCGAAGGCAGCUCACUAGACUGCAACUGACACUGAUGCUCGAAAGUGUGGGUAUCAAACAGGAUUAGAUACCCUGGUAGUCCACACAGUAAACGAUGAAUACUCGCUGUUUGCGAUAUACAGUAAGCGGCCAAGCGAAAGCAUUAAGUAUUCCACCUGGGGAGUACGCCGGCAACGGUGAAACUCAAAGGAAUUGACGGGGGCCCGCACAAGCGGAGGAACAUGUGGUUUAAUUCGAUGAUACGCGAGGAACCUUACCCGGGCUUAAAUUGCAUUUGAAUAAUCUGGAAACAGGUUAGCCGCAAGGCAAAUGUGAAGGUGCUGCAUGGUUGUCGUCAGCUCGUGCCGUGAGGUGUCGGCUUAAGUGCCAUAACGAGCGCAACCCUUAUCUUUAGUUACUAACAGGUCAUGCUGAGGACUCUAGAGAGACUGCCGUCGUAAGAUGUGAGGAAGGUGGGGAUGACGUCAAAUCAGCACGGCCCUUACGUCCGGGGCUACACACGUGUUACAAUGGGGGGUACAGAAGGCAGCUACCUGGCGACAGGAUGCUAAUCCCAAAAACCUCUCUCAGUUCGGAUCGAAGUCUGCAACCCGACUUCGUGAAGCUGGAUUCGCUAGUAAUCGCGCAUCAGCCAUGGCGCGGUGAAUACGUUCCCGGGCCUUGUACACACCGCCCGUCAAGCCAUGAAAGCCGGGGGUACCUGAAGUACGUAACCGCAAGGAGCGUCCUAGGGUAAAACUGGUAAUUGGGGCUAAGUCGUAACAAGGUAGCCGUACCGGAAGGUGCGGCUGGAACACCUCCUUUCU
rnacentral:rRNA from 2 species